rnacentral:rRNA from 1 species
ACGGACAAAGGGCAGCAAACUCGCGAGAGCUAGCAAAUCCCAUAAACCGUGGCUCAGUUCAGAUCGUAGGCUGCAACUCGCCUACGUGAAGUAGGAAUCGCUAGUAAUCGCAGGUCAGCAUACUGCGGUGAAUACGUUCCCGGGCCUUGUACACACCGCCCGUCACACCAUGGAAGUUGGCCACGCCCGAAGUCGUUACUUUAACCCUUGUGGAGAAGGACGCCGAAGGUGGGGCUGAUGACUGGGGUGAAGUCGUAACAAGGUAGCCGUACCGGAAGGUGCGGCUGGAUCACCUCCUAA